UGGGGAAUAUUGGACAAUGGGCGAAAGCCUGAUCCAGCGACGCCGCGUGGGUGAAGAAGGCCUGCGGGUUGUAAAGCCCUUUCAGUGGGGAAGAAAAGCCUCGUUCUAACACAACGGGGUCUUGACGUAACCCAUAAAAGAAGCACCGGCUAACUCUGUGCCAGCAGCCGCGGUAAUACAGAGGGUGCAAGCGUUAAUCGGAAUUACUGGGCGUAAAGCGCGCGUAGGUGGUUAGUUAAGUUGGAUGUGAAAUCCCCGGGCUUAACCUGGGAACUGCGUUUGAAACUACAAGACUAGAGUGUGGCAGAGGGGGGUGGAAUUCCAUGUGUAGCAGUGAAAUGCGUAGAGAUAUGGAAGAACAUCG
rnacentral:rRNA from 1 species